AGUGAACGCUGGCGGUAGGCCUAACACAUGCAGGUCGAACGGCAGCACAGUAAGAGCUUGCUCUUACGGGUGGCGAGUGGCGGACGGGUGAGGAAUACAUCGGAAUCUACUUUUUCGUGGGGGAUAACGUAGGGAAACUUACGCUAAUACCGCAUACGACCUACGGGUGAAAGCAGGGGAUCUUCGUACCUUGCGCGAUUGAAUGAGCCGAUGUCGGAUUAGCUAGUUGGCGGGGUAAAGGCCCACCAAGGCGACGAUCCGUAGCUGGUCUGAGAGGAUGAUCAGCCACACUGGAACUGAGACACGGUCCAGACUCCUACGGGAGGCAGCAGUGGGGAAUAUUGGACAAUGGGCGCAAGCCUGAUCCAGCCAUACCGCGUGGGUGAAGAAGGCCUUCGGGUUGUAAAGCCCUUUUGUUGGGAAAGAAAAGCAGCAGGUUAAUACCCCGCUGUUCUGACGGUUCCCAAAGAAUAGCACCGGCUAACUUCGUG
rnacentral:rRNA from 1 species